rnacentral:rRNA from 1 species
AUUGAACGCUGGCGGCAUGCUUUACACAUGCAAGUCGAACGGCAGCGCGGGCUUCGGCCUGGCGGCGAGUGGCGAACGGGUGAGUAAUACAUCGGAACGUGCCCAGUAGUGGGGGAUAGCUCGGCGAAAGCCGGAUUAAUACCGCAUACGACCUAAGGGUGAAAGCGGGGGAUCUUCGGACCUCGCGCUAUUGGAGCGGCCGAUGGCAGAUUAGCUAGUUGGUGGGGUAAAGGCCUACCAAGGCGACGAUCUGUAGCUGGUCUGAGAGGACGACCAGCCACACUGGGACUGAGACACGGCCCAGACUCCUACGGGAGGCAGCAGUGGGGAAUUUUGGACAAUGGGCGAAAGCCUGAUCCAGCAAUGCCGCGUGUGUGAUGAAGGCCUUCGGGUUGUAAAGCACUUUUGGCGGGAACGAAAAGGACUGUGCCAAUACCACGGUUCGAUGACGGUACCCGCAGAAUAAGCACCGGCUAACUACGUG